rnacentral:rRNA from 1 species
UACGGAGGGUGCGAGCGUUAAUCGGAAUUACUGGGCGUAAAGGGUGCGUAGGCGGUUUGAUAAGUUAAGUGUGAAAGACCCGGGCUUAACCUGGGGUUGUCACUUAAGACUGUCGGACUAGAGUAUGGGAGAGGGUAGUGGAAUUUCCGGUGUAGCGGUGAAAUGCGUAGAGAUCGGAAGGAACACCAGUGGCGAAGGCGGCUACCUGGCCUAAUACUGACGCUGAGGCACGAAAGCAUGGGGAGCAAACAGG